rnacentral:rRNA from 1 species
UGGGGAAUUUUGCACAAUGGGCGCAAGCCUGAUGCAGCGACGCCGCGUGAGGGAUGAAGGCCUUCGGGUUGUAAACCUUUUUCGCUCAUGGUCAAGCCGCAGCUUUGGGUUGUGGUGAGGGUAGUGGGUAAAGAAGCGCCGGCUAACUACGUGCCAGCAGCCGCGGUAAUACGUAGGGCGCGAGCGUUGUCCGGAAUUAUUGGGCGUAAAGGGCUUGUAGGCGGUUGGUCGCGUCUGCCGUGAAAUCCUCUGGCUUAACUGGGGGCGUGCAGUGGGUACGGGUUGACUUGAGUGCGGUAGGGGAGACUGGAAUUCCUGGUGUAGCGGUGGAAUGCGCAGAUAUCAGGAGGAACACCGGUGGCGAAGGCGGGUCUCUGGGCCGUUACUGACGCUGAGGAGCGAAAGCGUGGGGAGCGAACAGG